UGCGGACAUAUCAUAACGAAGAGGUAUCGUAAUUGAAGAGGUUUGGAAAGACCCACCACAGAAGGUAAUAGUCCUGUAUGUUAAACGAGAAGACUUUAGAUAUGAUCCAGAGUACCACGGGACACGUGAAACCCUGUGGGAAGCAGGAGGGACCACCCUCCAAGGCUAAAUACUACCUAGUGACCGAUAGCGUAUAGUACCGUGAGGGAAAGGUGAAAAGAACCCCGGGAGGGGAGUGAAAUAGAACCUGAAACCCUGCACUUACAAGCUGUGGAAGCACAUUUCUUGUGUGACCGCGUACUUUUUGUAGAACGGGCCAACGAGUUACGUUAAGUAGCAAGGUUAAGCACUUAAGGUGCGGAGCCGUAGCGAAAGCGAGUUUUAACUGAGCGUUCAGUUACUUGACGUAGACCCGAAACCGGGCGACCUACCCAUGAGCAGGAUGAAGCGAAAGUAAAAUUUCGUGGAGGUCCGAACCCACGAGCGUUGAAAAGCUCGGGGAUGACUUGUGGGUAGCGGUGAAAUUCCAAUCGAGCCCGGAGAUAGCUGGUUCUCCCCGAAAUAGCUUUAGGGCUAGCCUCAAGGUGAGAGAUACGGAGGUAGAGCACUGAAUGUCCUAGGGGGUAUUGCACCUACCGAAGACUAUCAAACUCCGAAUGCCGUCAUCUUAUACUUGGGAGUCAGACUGUGGGUGAUAAGAUUCAUAGUCGAAAGGGCAACAGCCCAGAUCGUCAGCUAAGGUCCCUAAAUGUAAGUUAAGUGGUAAAGGAUGUGGGAUUGCACAGACAACCAGGAUGUUGGCUUAGAAGCAGCCACUCAUUCAAAGAGUGCGUAAUAGCUCACUGGUCGAGUGAUCCUGCGCCGAAGAUUUCCGGGGCUAAAACUUACUACCGAAGCUACGGCAUCAGUAAUGAUGGGUAGGGGAGCUUCCCAUACGGGUUGAAGCAUGACCGUAAGGACAUGUGGACAGUAUGGGAGUGAGAAUGUUGGCAUGAGUAGCGAGAUGUGGGUGAGAAUCCCACAGGCCGUAAACCCAAGGUUUCCAGGGGAAGGUUCGUCCGCCCUGGGUUAGUCGGGACCUAAGCUGAGGCCGAAAGGCGUAGGUGAUGGACAACAGGUUGAUAUUCCUGUACUACCGAUAACCGUUUGAGAGA
rnacentral:rRNA from 1 species